AGUGAACGCUGGCGGUAGGCCUAACACAUGCAAGUCGAACGGCAGCACAGUAAGAGCUUGCUCUUACGGGUGGCGAGUGGCGGUCGGGUGAGGAAUACAUCGGAAUCUACUUUUUCGUGGGGGAUAACGUAGGGAAACUUACGCUAAUACCGCAUACGACCUACGGGUGAAAGCAGGGGAUCUUCGGACCUUGCGCGAUUGAAUGAGCCGAUGUCGGAUUAGCUAGUUGGCGGGGUAAAGGCCCACCAAGGCGACGAUCCGUAGCUGGUCUGAGAGGAUGAUCAGCCACACUGGAACUGAGGCACGGUCCAGACUCCUACGGGAGGCAGCAGUGGGGAAUAUUGGACAAUGGGCGCAAGCCUGAUCCAGCCAUACCGCGUGGGUGAAGAAGGCCUUCGGGUUGUAAAGCCCUUUUGUUGGGAAAGAAAAGCAGCAGGUUAAUACCCCGCUGUUCUGACGGUACCCAAAGAAUAAGCACCGGCUAACUUCGUG
rnacentral:rRNA from 1 species